UAGUCUACGCCGUAAACGAUGGAUACUAGUUGUUUGAUCUUCGGAUUGAGUGACUAAGCGAAAGUGAUAAGUAUCCCACCUGGGGAGUACGUUCGCAAGAAUGAAACUCAAAGGAAUUGACGGGGGCCCGCACAAGCGGUGGAGCAUGUGGUUUAAUUCGAUGAUACGCGAGGAACCUUACCAGGACUUAAAUGUAAGUUGCAUGAUUCAGAAAUGAAUCUUUCUUCGGACUACUUACAAGGUGCUGCAUGGUUGUCGUCAGCUCGUGCCGUGAGGUGUCAGGUUAAGUCCUAUAACGAGCGCAACCCCUAUCGUUAGUUGCCAUCAAGUAAAGUUGGGAACUCUAGCGAAACUGCCGGUGCAAACCGUGAGGAAGGUGGGGAUGACGUCAAAUCAUCACGGCCCUUACGUUCUGGGCUACACACGUGCUACAAUGGUCGGUACAGAAAGCAGCCACUAUGCGAAUAGGAGCUAAUCUUUAAAACCGAUCUCAGUUCGGAUCGCAGU
rnacentral:rRNA from 1 species